rnacentral:misc_RNA from 1 species
GAUGAAGAACUUAGCGAAAUGCGAUAAGUAAUGUGAAUUGCAGAAUUCAGUGAAUCAUCGAAUCUUUGAACGCACAUUGCGCCCGCCAGUAUUCUGGCGGGCAUGCCUGUUCGAGCGUCAUUACAACCCUCAGGCCCCCGGGCCUGGCGUUGGGGAUCGGCGGAAGCCCCCUGCGGGCACAACGCCGUCCCCCAAAUACAGUGGCGGUCCCGCCGCAGCUUCCAUUGCGUAGUAGCUAACACCUCGCAACUGGAGAGCGGCGCGGCCACGCCGUAAAACACCCAACUUCUGAAUGUUGACCUCGAAUCAGGUAGGAAUACCCGCUGAACUUAAGCAUAUCAAUAAGCGGAGGA